CCUACGGGGGGCUGCAGUGGGGAAUAUUGGACAAUGGGCGCAAGCCUGAUCCAGCCAUGCCGCGUGAGUGAUGAAGGUCUUAGGAUUGUAAAGCUCUUUCACCGAUGAAGAUAAUGACGGUAGUCGGAGAAGAAGCCCCGGCUAACUUCGUGCCAGCAGCCGCGGUAAUACGAAGGGGGCUAGCGUUGUUCGGAAUUACUGGGCGUAAAGCGCACGUAGGCGGAUAUUUAAGUCAGGGGUGAAAUCCCGCAGCUCAACUGCGGAACUGCCUUUGAUACUGGGUAUCUCGAGUAUGGAAGAGGUGAGUGGAAUUCCGAGUGUAGAGGUGAAAUUCGUAGAUAUUCGGAGGAACACCAGUGGCGAAGGCGGCUCACUGGUCCAUUACUGACGCUGAGGUGCGAAAGCGUGGGGAGCAAACAGGAUUAGAUACCCCUGUAGUC
rnacentral:rRNA from 1 species